rnacentral:rRNA from 1 species
UCCGUAGGUGGAUCAAUCAGUCAGAGGUGAAAUCCUGCAGCUUAACUGUAGAACUGCCUUUGAUACUGUUGAUCUUGAGUCAUUAUGAAGUGGUUAGAAUGUGUAGUGUAGCGGUGAAAUGCAUAGAUAUUACACAGAAUACCGAUUGCGAAGGCAGAUCACUAAUAAUGUACUGACACUGAGGGACGAAAGCGUGGGGAGCGAACAGGGUUAGAUACCCUGGUAGUCC